GCCGCCAUAGCUCAGUGGUAGAGCACUGGUCUUGUAAACCAGGGGCGUUAGUUCAAUCCUCACUGGUGGCA
rnacentral:tRNA from 1 species